rnacentral:rRNA from 1 species
UUAAGCGACUAAGCGUACACGGUGGAUGCCCUGGCAGUCAGAGGCGAUGAAGGACGUGCUAAUCUGCGAAAAGCGUCGGUAAGGUGAUAUGAACCGUUAUAACCGGCGAUGUCCGAAUGGGGAAACCCAGUGUGAUUCGUCACACUAUCGUUAACUGAAUACAUAGGUUAACGAGGCGAACCGGGGGAACUGAAACAUCUAAGUACCCCGAGGAAAAGAAAUCAACCGAGAUUCCCCCAGUAGCGGCGAGCGAACGGGGAGCAGCCCAGAGUCUGAAUCAGCUUGUGUGUUAGUGGAACGGUCUGGAAAGUCCGACGGUACAGGGUGAUAGUCCCGUACACCAAAAUGCACAGGCUGUGAACUCGAAGAGUAGGGCGGGACACGUGGUAUCCUGUCUGAAUAUGGGGGGACCAUCCUCCAAGGCUAAAUACUCCUGACUGACCGAUAGUGAACCAGUACCGUGAGGGAAAGGCGAAAAGAACCCCGGCGAGGGGAGUGAAAAAGAACCUGAAACCGUGUACGUACAAGCAGUGGGAGCACCUUUAUGGUGUGACUGCGUACCUUUUGUAUAAUGGGUCAGCGACUUAUAUUCUGUAGCAAGGUUAACCGUAUAGGGGAGCCGCAGGGAAACCGAGUCUUAACUGGGCGUUAAGUUGCAGGGUAUAGACCCGAAACCCGGUGAUCUAGCCAUGGGCAGGUUGAAGGUUGGGUAACACUAACUGGAGGACCGAACCGACUAAUGUUGAAAAAUUAGCGGAUGACUUGUGGCUGGGGGUGAAAGGCCAAUCAAACCGGGAGAUAGCUGGUUCUCCCCGAAAGCUAUUUAGGUAGCGCCUCGUGAACUCAUCUUCGGGGGUAGAGCACUGUUUCGGCUAGGGGGUCAUCCCGACUUACCAACCCGAUGCAAACUACGAAUACCGAAGAAUGUUAUCACGGGAGACACACGGCGGGUGCUAACGUCCGUCGUGAAGAGGGAAACAACCCAGACCGCCAGCUAAGGUCCCAAAGUCAUGGUUAAGUGGGAAACGAUGUGGGAAGGCACAGACAGCCAGGAUGUUGGCUUAGAAGCAGCCAUCAUUUAAAGAAAGCGUAAUAGCUCACUGGUCGAGUCGGCCUGCGCGGAAGAUGUAACGGGGCUAAACCAUGCACCGAAGCUGCGGCAGCGACACGAUGUGUUGUUGGGUAGGGGAGCGUUCUGUAAGCCUGCGAAGGUGACCUGUGAGGGUUGCUGGAGGUAUCAGAAGUGCGAAUGCUGACAUAAGUAACGAUAAAGCGGGUGAAAAGCCCGCUCGCCGGAAGACCAAGGGUUCCUGUCCAACGUUAAUCGGGGCAGGGUGAGUCGACCCCUAAGGCGAGGCCGAAAGGCGUAGUCGAUGGGAAACAGGUUAAUAUUCCUGUACUUGGUGUUACUGCGAAGGGGGGACGGAGAAGGCUAUGUUAGCCGGGCGACGGUUGUCCCGGUUUAAGCAUGUAGGCUGGUUAUCCAGGCAAAUCCGGAUAAUCAAGGCUGAGGUGUGAUGACGAGGCACUACGGUGCUGAAGUAACAAAUGCCCUGCUUCCAGGAAAAGCCUCUAAGCAUCAGGUAACAUCAAAUCGUACCCCAAACCGACACAGGUGGUCAGGUAGAGAAUACCAAGGCGCUUGAGAGAACUCGGGUGAAGGAACUAGGCAAAAUGGUGCCGUAACUUCGGGAGAAGGCACGCUGGUGUGUAGGUGAAGUCCCUGCGGAUGGAGCUGAGACCAGUCGAAGAUACCAGCUGGCUGCAACUGUUUAUUAAAAACACAGCACUGUGCAAACACGAAAGUGGACGUAUACGGUGUGACGCCUGCCCGGUGCCGGAAGGUUAAUUGAUGGGGUUAUCCGUAAGGAGAAGCUCUUGAUCGAAGCCCCGGUAAACGGCGGCCGUAACUAUAACGGUCCUAAGGUAGCGAAAUUCCUUGUCGGGUAAGUUCCGACCUGCACGAAUGGCGUAAUGAUGGCCAGGCUGUCUCCACCCGAGACUCAGUGAAAUUGAACUCGCUGUGAAGAUGCAGUGUACCCGCGGCAAGACGGAAAGACCCCGUGAACCUUUACUAUAGCUUGACACUGAACAUUGAGCCUUGAUGUGUAGGAUAGGUGGGAGGCUUUGAAGCGUGGACGCCAGUCUGCGUGGAGCCAACCUUGAAAUACCACCCUUUAAUGUUUGAUGUUCUAACGUUGGCCCCUGACCGGGGUUGCGGACAGUGUCUGGUGGGUAGUUUGACUGGGGCGGUCUCCUCCCAAAGCGUAACGGAGGAGCACGAAGGUUAGCUAAUCCUGGUCGGACAUCAGGAGGUUAGUGCAAUGGCAUAAGCUAGCUUGACUGCGAGCGUGACGGCGCGAGCAGGUGCGAAAGCAGGUCAUAGUGAUCCGGUGGUUCUGAAUGGAAGGGCCAUCGCUCAACGGAUAAAAGGUACUCCGGGGAUAACAGGCUGAUACCGCCCAAGAGUUCAUAUCGACGGCGGUGUUUGGCACCUCGAUGUCGGCUCAUCACAUCCUGGGGCUGAAGUAGGUCCCAAGGGUAUGGCUGUUCGCCAUUUAAAGUGGUACGCGAGCUGGGUUUAGAACGUCGUGAGACAGUUCGGUCCCUAUCUGCCGUGGGCGCUGGAGAAUUGAGGGGGGCUGCUCCUAGUACGAGAGGACCGGAGUGGACGCAUCACUGGUGUUCGGGUUGUCAUGCCAAUGGCACUGCCCGGUAGCUAAAUGCGGAAGAGAUAAGUGCUGAAAGCAUCUAAGCACGAAACUUGCCCCGAGAUGAGUUCUCCCUGAGACUUUAAGUCUCCUGAAGGAACGUUGAAGACGACGACGUUGAUAGGCCGGGUGUGUAAGCGCAGCGAUGCGUUGAGCUAACCGGUACUAAUGAACCGUGAGGCUUAACCUU